rnacentral:rRNA from 1 species
GUGGGGAAUAUUGCACAAUGGGCGAAAGCCUGAUGCAGCAACGCCGCGUGAGCGAUGAAGGCCUUCGGGUCGUAAGGCUCUGUCCUCAAGGAAGAUAAUGACGGUACUUGAGGAGGAAGCCCCGGCUAACUACGUGCCAGCAGCCGCGGUAAUACGUAGGGGGCUAGCGUUAUCCGGAAUUACUGGGCGUAAAGGGUGCGUAGGUGGUUUCUUAAGUCAGAGGUGAAAGGCUACGGCUCAACCGUAGUAAGCCUUUGAAACUGGGAAACUUGAGUGCAGGAGAGGAGAGUGGAAUUCCUAGUGUAGCGGUGAAAUGCGUAGAUAUUAGGAGGAACACCAGUUGCGAAGGCGGCUCUCUGGACUGUAACUGACACUGAGGCACGAAAGCGUGGGGAGCAAAC